rnacentral:rRNA from 1 species
CAGCUUACACAUGCAGUCGAGCGGGGAAGUAUAGCUUGCUAUACGACCUAGCGGCGGACGGGUGAGUAAUGCUUAGGAAUCUGCCUAUUAGUGGGGGACAACAUUCCGAAAGGAAUGCUAAUACCGCAUACGCCCUACGGGGGAAAGCAGGGGAUCUUCGGACCUUGCGCUAAUAGAUGAGCCUAAGUCAGAUUAGCUAGUUGGUGGGGUAAAGGCCUACCAAGGCGACGAUCUGUAGCGGGUCUGAGAGGAUGAUCCGCCACACUGGGACUGAGACACGGCCCAGACUCCUACGGGAGGCAGCAGUGGGGAAUAUUGGACAAUGGGCGAAAGCCUGAUCCAGCCAUGCCGCGUGUGUGAAGAAGGCCUUUUGGUUGUAAAGCACUUUAAGCGAGGAGGAGGCUACCGAGAUUAAUACUCUUGGAUAGUGGACGUUACUCGCAGAAUAAGCACCGGCUAACUCUGUGCCAGCAGCCGCGGUAAUACAGAGGGUGCGAGCGUUAAUCGGAUUUACUGGGCGUAAAGCGUGCGUAGGCGGCUUCUUAAGUCGGAUGUGAAAUCCCUGAGCUUAACUUAGGAAUUGCAUUCGAUACUGGGAAGCUAGAGUAUGGGAGAGGAUGGUAGAAUUCCAGGUGUAGCGGUGAAAUGCGUAGAGAUCUGGAGGAAUACCGAUGGCGAACGCAGCCAUCUGGCCUAAUACUGACGCUGAGGUACGAAAGCAUGGGGAGCAAACAGGAUUAGAUACCCUGGUAGUCCAUGCCGUAACGAUGUCUACUAGCCGUUGGGGCCUUUGAGGCUUUAGUGGCGCAGCUAACGCG